GAUGAACGCUGGCGGCGUACCUAAUACAUGCAAGUCGAGCGAACAGACGAGGAGCUUGCUCCUCUGACGUUAGCGGCGGACGGGUGAGUAACACGUGGAUAACCUACCUAUAAGACUGGGAUAACUUCGGGAAACCGGAGCUAAUACCGGAUAAUAUAUUGAACCGCAUGGUUCAAUAGUGAAAGACGGUUUUGCUGUCACUUAUAGAUGGAUCCGCGCCACAUUAGCUAGUUGGUAAGGUAACGGCUUACCAAGGCGACGAUGCGUAGCCGACCUGAGAGGGUGAUCGGCCACACUGGAACUGAGACACGGUCCAGACUCCUACGGGAGGCAGCAGUAGGGAAUCUUCCGCAAUGGGCGAAAGCCUGACGGAGCAACGCCGCGUGAGUGAUGAAGGUCUUCGGAUCGUAAAACUCUGUUAUUAGGGAAGAACAAAUGUGUAAGUAACUAUGCACGUCUUGACGGUACCUAAUCAGAAAGCCACGGCUAACUACGUG
rnacentral:rRNA from 1 species